rnacentral:sRNA from 1 species
GAAUUUGCUCUGUCUUUCUGUAGUUGCAGCAUUUGCAAGAAGAAGCAGAAUAGACACUUCAUCGUUCCAGCUUCUCGCUUCAAGCUCCUGAAGGUCAGUGCUUAAGAGCAGGGUCAAGGAGUGCAGAACCCAUUGGUGAGAUUUACAGGACCCCCCAGCCAACCCUUAGCAUGCCAUCUGUAGCAUGGGAGGGGCCUGGAGCAUAGCACGGCCUCUCACGGGCUUUGGUUUCAGGUUGACAUUUAAAAGGUGGGCCCGGCACAGUGGCUCACGCCUGUAAUCCCAGCACUUUGGGAGGCCAAGAUGGGUGGAUCACCUGAAGUCAGGAGUUGAGGACCAGCCUGGCCAACAUGGUGAAACCCUAUCUCUACUAAAAAUACAAAAAUUACCUGGGCGUUGUAGUGCAUGCCUGUAAUCCCAGCUACUUGGGAGGCCAAGGCAGGAGAAUCACUUGAACCUGGGAGGUGGAGGUUGCAGUGAGCCGAGAUCACACCAUUGCACUCCAGCCUGGGUGACAAGAGUGAAACUCCAUCUCAAAAAAAAUGAAAAUAAAAAAUAAAAGGUUGUGUUAUUUUAAAUAAAGGUAAAAACCUUUAUUUUUUGGAGGCCUAUUUGGUAUUGUGGAAACAUUUUCAAAUUCAGAGAAUCAAAAAACAAUAAAAUCACCCAAAUCCUAUCAACUAAA